UACAGAGGGUGCGAGCGUUAAUCGGAAUUACUGGGCGUAAAGCGCACGUAGGUGGCGACGUAAGUCGGGUGUGAAAGCCCCGGGCUCAACCUGGGAAUUGCAUUCGAGACUGCAUUGCUGGAGUACGGAAGAGGAAGGCGGAAUUCCCGGUGUAGCGGUGAAAUGCGUAGAUAUCAGGAGGAACACCAGUAGCGAAGGCGGAUCUCUGGGCCUUACCUGACGCUCAGGCACGAAAGCUAGGGGAGCGAACAGG
rnacentral:rRNA from 1 species